CGGGCGGCCGUGACCCUGCUGGAGUGCGGGGGGGACCUCCAGCCCCCCGGGGGGUCCCUGCGCCUCCUCUGCCGAGGGGCCGGGUUCAGUUUUGGCAGUUUUGGGAUGGGCUGGAUGCGACAGAGACCCGGGCAGGGGCUGGAGUUCGUAGCACAGAUCAACACUGGUGGCACCACCCACUAUGGAGAUUCGGUCAAGGGCCGGUUCACGAUCUCCAGGGACAACGGGCAGAGCUCGGUGACGCUGACCAUGAACAACCUCAAGGACGAGGAUUCCGGAUCCUAUUUCUGUGCCAAGGAUUCCUAUGCUGGCUGGAAUGCCGCCCAUGCCAUUGGUCUCACUCCCGGUGGUUGGCCCCGCCCCGUUUGCCCCAACGCUGCCCAUUGGCCCCAAACCCUGCCCUGGGUCUGGCCCCAAACUCAACUCUCGGCCCCAAAUCUCACCCUCGACCCCCAAAAGUGCCCCAAGGGCCGAGAUUUGGGGUGA